UACGUAGGGGGCAAGCGUUAUCCGGAAUUACUGGGUGUAAAGGGAGCGUAGACGGUAAUGUAAGUCUGGAGUGAAAGGCGGGGGCCCAGCCCCCGGACUGCUCUGGAAACUAUGUUACUAGAGUGCAGGAGAGGUAAGCGGAAUUCCUAAUGUAGCGGUGAAAUGCGUAGAUAUUAGGAGGAACACCAGUGGCGAAGGCGGCUUACUGGACUGUAACUGACGUUGAGGCUCGAAAGCGUGGGGAGCAAACAGG
rnacentral:rRNA from 1 species